rnacentral:tRNA from 2 species
GGCCGUGUGGCUCAAUGGCAGAGCGUCUGACUACGACUUGACAGAGAAAUCUGGCAUCCAUCCGUUAUCAGAAGGUCGCAGGUUCGACCCCUGUCUCGGUCA